UAAAGGUGUAUGUAAACAAGAUGCCAGGU
rnacentral:piRNA from 1 species